CGGGUAGUGGCGCAGUUUGGCAGCGCGCUUGCUUUGGGAGCAAGAGACCGCAGGUUCGAAUCCUGUCUACCCGA
rnacentral:tRNA from 1 species